CAGUCGCCGCGGGAAUACGGAGGGUGCAAGCGUUAAUCGGAUUUACUGGGCGUAAAGCGUGCGUAGGCGGCUUUUUAAGUCGGAUGUGAAAUCCCUGAGCUUAACUUAGGAAUUGCAUUCGAUACUGGGAAGCUAGAGUAUGGGAGAGGAUGGUAGAAUUCCAGGUGUAGCGGUGAAAUGCGUAGAGAUCUGGAGGAAUACCGAUGGCGAAGGCAGCCAUCUGGCCUAAUACUGACGCUGAGGUACGAAAGCAUGGGGAGCAAACAGGAUUAGAUACCCAGUAGUCCCUGUCUCUUAUACA
rnacentral:rRNA from 1 species